UACGGAGGGGGCUAGCGUUGUUCGGAAUUACUGGGCGUAAAGCGCGCGUAGGCGGCUUUGUAAGUUAGAGGUGAAAGCCCGGAGCUCAACUCCGGAAUUGCCUUUAAGACUGCAUCGCUAGAAUCAUGGAGAGGUGAGUGGAAUUCCGAGUGUAGAGGUGAAAUUCGUAGAUAUUCGGAAGAACACCAGUGGCGAAGGCGACUACCUGGCCCAUUCUUGACGCUGAGGCGCGAAAGCUAGGGGAGCGAACGGG
rnacentral:rRNA from 1 species